UAGAGUUUGAUCCUGGCUCAGAACGAACGCUGGCGGCAGGCCUAACACAUGCAAGUCGAGCGCGCCCUUCGGGGUGAGCGGCGGACGGGUUAGUAACGCGUGGGAAUAUGCCCAAAGGUAGGGAAUAGCCUCUGGAAACGGAGAGUAAUACCCUAUGUGCCCUUCGGGGGAAAGAUUUAUCGCCUUUGGAUUAGCCCGCGUUAGAUUAGGUAGUUGGUGGGGUAAUGGCCUACCAAGCCUACGAUCUAUAGCUGGUUUUAGAGGAUGAUCAGCAACACUGGGACUGAGACACGGCCCAGACUCCUACGGGAGGCAGCAGUGGGGAAUCUUGGACAAUGGGCGCAAGCCUGAUCCAGCCAUGCCGCGUGAGUGAUGAAGGCCUUAGGGUCGUAAAGCUCUUC
rnacentral:rRNA from 1 species